CAUUAAGGUUGCUUGCAGAAACUCAGGGAAAAAGAAACCAAUGCUGGGCAGGUUAUGUGGUGCCUUGCUCGCCCUGUCUGCGGGGGUGCUCUGCCAGCAGCCUUUGCGUGCAGCUCCCACCACAGCUCAGUGGUGGCUGUGGGACACUUUACUCCAUGGUUCUUGACAUGCAGAACCUCAGUCCUAGAGAUCCUGGAGGGGGAAAAGAGAAACUGGAAUAACAGAAAAUCAGGCCUCCCGUAUGAAGCAGUGCAUGGGAAGCAUCUUUGCAUGGGGAACUUGUGUUAACGGGGACAAAGCAGAGCUUCAGUAGAACAGCUGACUACCUCACCUGGGUGGCUCCAGCCAGGAUUGUGGGGUUGCCCUUCUUGCUGGUCUAAUUACCCAGAAAUGGGUGGGAGACACAUCCUCAUUCUUGCAAACAACCGAGCAUAUCAGAAGUGUGGUAGCUUGAAACAAGCAGCAUUCUCCGCCCUCCACCCAUCAUCCUCCUUGCUUCAUCCAAGCUCCCUGUCACUCUAAAAUCUGCUUGCUGAUAAAUGCAUGUCAGCUAGCAGCAGCUUAAAACCCCAUAAUCUGUUGAGUGCCCGCUGCUGGUACACCUAAAGGGGCUCCCUGUGUUCCUCACCCCCUCUGCCACAUCGCAGGGGGGCUGCAUUGUGGUCCUCCCGCAGGGGUGCACGACUGGGUCACUGGGCUGUGCAUGGGGACAGGGUGCGCUGUGCUCGGGGCAGGGCUCUGCUGAGUGUGAGAUCUGCACAGGGCAUGGCUCGGCUGGAUGUCCUGUCUUCUUUGCCAAAAUGUGGGCGUGCAGGAUGCAGCACAGCAGAAAGGGAGCAGCUCUCAGCCGUGGAGGAAGCAACCCAGGGAGGCACUGAGGUGUCUGAGCAGCACCGAGGUCACCAACCUUCUCUCCUGCUGGCUGUCCACUUGUCCCAGAGCUCCCAGAACGUGCUGAAGGACUCAGCACAUCGCUGCAGUGGGGUUAAACGCUGGAGCGUGCGCAUUUUGCCACACUUCUAACUCCUCUGCGUUGGCUGCAAGAGGAAAUUUUAAUCAGCACCGCGAUAACAGCCUUUCGGUCCUGCCGGGAGUUAUCAGUGCCUUUGUUUGUAAAUGGAGCUGCUUGAUACUGCUGCGGCUCUGGGCAUGGCUGCAGCCCUUGGGCUUAGCAGCCCCCUCCUGCUACUGGCCUGGGGAGCAAAAAUGGACCCAGCUGGGCAGAAUCAGGCCCGAGCCAUCCCAUCCCUGCCUCUGCUCUCACAGGGAGACAGACUGCUGGAUUUCAAUCCAUUGCAAGCUUCAAAGGGAAGCUGAUGAAUAUCAGAACCUGGUAAUUUAGCCUCUGCAGAGCACACACGAUAUAUUCAUAAUCAUUUUGCAUGUAGAUGAGCUAAUAACACAAUCAUGGUUAUAAAUCAAACCCAGGAGAUGCAUUACUGCUAUUCGCCUGAGCUUUAUGAGUGUGCGAGCCAAAGAAAAUGUCUGUCUGUCUCCUAGAUGGGGCCAAUUAACCUUAUAAAGAUGCUCUCCCCUCUCACAGCAGCUUGUUUGUUUACUUGGGCGCUGCUGCCUGUUGUUAUUUUCCAUCUGGAAGAUGGGACAGCGUUGGUGAGGGAUUCAGUGGAGGCCAGGGAUAAAGAUAAAAGGAAACCAGGCUCAGGAGAGACAGUGCCUUGAUCAGCAA
ensembl:lncRNA